CCUACGGGAGGCAGCAGUGGGGAAUAUUGGACAAUGGGCGCAAGCCUGAUCCAGCCAUGCCGCGUGGAUGAUGAAGGCCUUAGGGUUGUAAAAUCCUUUCGACGGGGAAGCGGUACCCGUAGAAGAAGCCCCGGCUAACUUCGUGCCAGCAGCCGCGGUAAUACGAAGGGGGCUAGCGUUGCUCGGAAUCACUGGGCGUAAAGCGCACGUAGGCGGCUUUUUAAGUCAGAGGUGAAAUCCUGGAGCUCAACUCCAGAACUGCCUUUGAUACUGAAGAGCUUGAGUCCGGGAGAGGUGAGUGGAACUGCGAGUGUAGAGGUGAAAUUCGUAGAUAUUCGCAAGAACACCAGUGGCGAAGGCGGCUCACUGGCCCGGACUGACGCUGAGGUGCGAAAGCGUGGGGAGCAAACAGGAUUAAUACCCUUGUAGUC
rnacentral:rRNA from 1 species